ensembl:lncRNA
UUUUAGGAGCUUUUAGGGUCUAACAUACAUGUUGUUGGUUUAGAUGAUUUACCAAGUUUAUACAAUUCUUCCUCUCCUAUAGUAGAGAAUGAGUGGAACUGUUCCUCAGGGGAUCUAUAGUGCACUGUCUGAUGUGAUACUGUAGCUGAUGGCUGCAUGGUUACAAUUUUAUCUCUAAUAGUAUCGACUUUAGAAGUAAAGUAGUUCAUAAAGUCAUUACUGCUGUGAUGUUGAGAAAUGUCAACACUUGUUGAUGCUUUAUUUUUCGUUAAUUUAGCCACUGUAUUGAAUAAAUACCUGGGGUUAUGUUUGUUUUCUUCUAAAAGAGACGAAAAGUAAUCAGAUUUAGCAGUUUUUAAUGCUUUUCUGUAAGAUAGGUUACUUUCCCUCCAAGCAAUACGAAAUACUUCUAGUUUUGUUUUCCUCCAGCUGCGCUCCAUUUUCAUUUGCUGAAGGCCACUAUGAGAGCAACCUGGGCUCUCAUAACACCUGUGCAGUGCCACAGACUGAUCGACUCCAUGCCACCCGCAUUGGUGCAGGAAUUCAGGCAAAAGGAGCCCCAACUAAGUAUUGAGUGCUGUACAUGCUCAUACUUUUCAUGUUCAUAAUUUUCAGUUGGCCAAGAUUUCUAAAAAUCCUUUCUUUGUAUUGGUCUUAAGUAAUAUUCUAAUUUUCUGAGAUACUGAAUUUGGGAUUUUCCUUAGUUGUCAGUCAUCAGAAUUAAAAGAAAUAAACAUUUGAAAUAUAUCAGUCUGUGUGUAAUGAAUGAACAUAAUAUACAAGUUUCACUUUUUGAAUGGAAUUAGUGAAAUAAAUCAACUUUUUGAUGAUAUUCUAAUUGUAUGACCAGCACCUGUAUUUUUGUUUUUUAGAAACAAGACUCCAAGAGUUAAGGGACACCAUAACUGCAGUCCAGGUUCCGGAGGGAACAGACAGAAUGGUUUCUGCUUGGGAACAAAGGCAGUUUCUCACAGAUGUGAGAAUGAAAACUGCUAGGCCUAUGCUUUUUGAUGCAAAGCUCAAAGCCGAGACAGCAUUCAUCCAAAAUUGUCACAGAUGCUGUGCUGUAGAAGCUGUGAUUAGGUGCCUGGACUGUGUACCACUGGACAUGGAAUUCCUCUGUGCUACCUGUGACAUGGAGGCCCACAAGAGAAAUGUCUUCCAUGACAGAGAGGCUGUGCUCCAUGGAUUUCUUGAGCCCAUUCCCCCUACAACUGCUAUGGUGGUGAAUGAAAUGGCCAGCCUCAGUUUUGUGAACAAAUAUGUCAACUGCCUGUUCCUGCACCAAGGUCAAUUUGUGAAUGCACUCAUGACUUCACAAUCACUCCAGGGAAGCAUAUUUCUGUGGUCACCAUCAAUGCUAUGUUGUUCUGAAAGCCCUCCUUUUUGUGCAUUAUUAUUAUAUAAAAUUAUAUUACUAUAUACCUAA